rnacentral:rRNA from 1 species
AUUGAACGCUGGCGGCAGGCCUAACACAUGCAAGUCGAGCGAGCGGCGGACGGGUGAGUAAUGUAUGGGGACUGCCCGAUAGAGGGGGAUAACUACUGGAAACGGUGGCUAAUACCGCAUACUAUCGGAUAACCCAUAUGGGAUUAGCGAGUAGGGGGGGUAAAGGCUCACCUAGGCGACGAUCGCUAGCUGGUCUGAGAGGAUGAUGAGCAACACUGGACCGGAGAAACGGCCCAGCCUCCUACGGAGGCAGCAGUGGGGAAUAUUGCACAAGGGGGGCAAGCCGGCUGCAGCAAUGCGGCGUGUAGGAAGAAGGCCUUGGGUUUGUAAAGUACUUUAAUCGGGGAGGCGUUACCCGCAGAAGAAGCACCGGCUAACUCCGUGCCAGCCGCCGCGGUAAUAC